AGUUAUCUCCCUAAGUAGUCCGGUACAGAAAACUGGCUCUAACUCAGGUGUUUUUACUACAAGUCCAACAAUUAGCUCUUUCCCAAGUACUACAGCAGAAUAC